ensembl:processed_transcript si:ch211-205j18.1
UGAGUGAGUGUGGACGACGCUGGAUCUUCUCACCGGCUGCCAUGAUCGAACAAACAGCAGAAAUUAAGGCAGAGUCUGUAUAUGUGGACACUUACUAUUUGCCCUCUCUACAGUUUCUCUUGUCUGUCCCCCACAAGCAGAGACCCACUGAUAGACCGCUGUUACCAGUUCUAGGGCUGACACAUCCGCACACGUCCACAUCACAAGUGUAUCCUGAAAAGAUCAAGGAGGAGCAUCACAACAGUUUCGUUGAAGUAGACAUUCUUGUGGAAGCUUGAUGAGUACACACCAGGUUUUGCAGCUAAUGCAUGCCAAAGGAGGAGCAGCUAGUUGCAAGAUGCAUCCUCUGCUGGACAGUUUAAAUACACAGAACAUUGAGGAAAAAAAGAGAUGCUGUUGUCUGCUGCCUCAAUAACUACCUCGGGGAAAGACAAGAAGAUAUGUUCCAUGACUGGCAGGAAUGUGAGGAGUACACAGACAAAACGAUGAAGGAGAUUGUGAAGCACAAUUUGUCUAUUGUGAUCGGGGGAAAACAAGUGAUGGAAGGAUGAGGAAGCCAAACAGAGGCAUGCAUACUGCUGGGACUCAUAUGCAAUUAACAUUGAAUAUCCAAAGGAGCUGAAGAACACGUUUGAAGCUUUUCAAAAACUUUGUUUUAGAAAAUGAUGGGGCAAAACCACUGAAGAAGGUCCACAGCCUCAAAAAUAAGCUCAUGCAGUAGACAUUUCUCCUCUUACUUAAAGAGGAUCUUUUGUUUGGACAUGCCUUGAUGGAGUUGUAAUGGAGUGUUUUAUAUAUUUUUUUCUCUUCCAUCAUUUGCUUCACACACAG